rnacentral:rRNA from 1 species
CACGAACGCUGGCGGCAGGCCUAACACAUGCAAGUCGAGCGAGGACUUCGGUCCUAGCGGCGGACGGGUGAGUAACGCGUGGGAACGUGCCCUUUGCUACGGAAUAGCCCUGGGAAACUGGGAGUAAUACCGUAUGUGCCCUUUGGGGGAAAGAUUUAUCGGCAAAGGAUCGGCCCGCGUUGGAUUAGGUAGUUGGUGGGGUAAUGGCCUACCAAGCCGACGAUCCAUAGCUGGUUUGAGAGGAUGAUCAGCCACACUGGGACUGAGACACGGCCCAGACUCCUACGGGAGGCAGCAGUGGGGAAUCUUAGACAAUGGGCGCAAGCCUGAUCUAGCCAUGCCGCGUGAGCGAUGAAGGCCUUAGGGUUGUAAAGCUCUUUCAGUGGGGAAGAUAAUGACGGUACCCACAGAAGAAGCCCCGGCUAACUCCGUGCCAGCCGCCGCGGUAACAC